GAUGAACGCUGGCGGCGUGCUUAACACAUGCAAGUCGAACGGAAAGGCUCCUGCUUGCAGGGGUACUCGAGUGGCGAACGGGUGAGUAACACGUGGGUGAUCUGCCCUGCACUUCGGGAUAAGCCUGGGAAACUGGGUCUAAUACCGGAUAGGACGAUGGUUUGGAUGCCAUUGUGGAAAGUUUUUUCGGUGUGGGAUGAGCUCGCGGCCUAUCAGCUUGUUGGUGGGGUAAUGGCCUACCAAGGCGUCGACGGGUAGCCGGCCUGAGAGGGUGUACGGCCACAUUGGGACUGAGAUAAGGCCCAGACUCCUACGGGAGGCAGCAGUGGGGAAUAUUGCACAAUGGGCGCAAGCCUGAUGCAGCGACGCCGCGUGGGGGAUGACGGCCUUCGGGUUGUAAACUCCUUUCGCUAGGGACGAAGCGCAAGUGACGGUACCUGGAGAAGAAGCACCGGCUAACUACGUG
rnacentral:rRNA from 1 species